AAAUAGCUUAUAAUCUUUGGUAGGACAAGAUCCUCCAUAUUCGUAUGCAAAUGGACAUUGGCAAAGUUAUGUGGUAGCUCAUAUUCCCGUUCUGCUAAGGCCAUCUUUUUGUGCUCUUCAGAGCAAUACCGAGAUUCAGGUGCGUAGACACAUGUACAAGACCAGUACGCGAAGGCCUUAUCUUUAUGCACAUAAUGCAUAACACGAAGAUUGGCAACACCCAUUGCAGAAACCUGCUAAUACACAUUGUUAGGUCUAGAGAAAAAAACUCUCUCUCGCAACUUUGAAGAUUUUGUUUGCUCUUUGGAUUGUCGAGAUUGUUUCAUUUCGUGUUUUUAUAUU
rnacentral:sRNA from 1 species